GCCCAAGUGGCGGAAUGGUAGACGCAGGGGAUUCAAAAUCCCCCGCCUUCACGGGCGUGUCGGUUCGAGUCCGACCUUGGGCACCA
rnacentral:tRNA from 1 species